rnacentral:rRNA from 1 species
GACAGAGGGUGCGAACGUUGUUCGGAAUUACUGGGCGUAAAGCGCAUGUAGGCGGCAGCGCAAGUCGGGCGUGAAAUCCCACGGCUCAACCGUGGAAGUGCACUCGAAACUGCGCAGCUAGAGUCCUGGAGAGGAAGGUGGAAUGCUUGGUGUAGAGGUGAAAUUCGUAGAUAUCAAGCGGAACACCGGUGGCGAAGGACG